rnacentral:rRNA from 1 species
UACGUAGGGAGCAAGCGUUGUCCGGAAUCAUUGGGCGUAAAGCGCGUGUAGGCGGUCCGGUAAGUCCGCUGUGAAAGUCGAGGGCUCAACCCUCGAAUGCCGGUGGAUACUGUCGGGCUCGAGUCCGGAAGAGGAGUGUGGAAUUCCUGGUGUAGCGGUGAAAUGCGCAGAUAUCAGGAGGAACACCAAUGGCGAAGGCAGCACUCUGGGACGUGACUGACGCUGAGACGCGAAAGCGUGGGGAGCAAACAGG